UACGGGGGGGGCAAGCGUUGUUCGGAAUUACUGGGCGUAAAGGGCUUGUAGGUGGCCAACUAAGUCAGACGUGAAAUCCCUCAGCUUAACUGGGGAACUGCUUCUGAUACUGGAUGGCUUGAGUUUGGGAGAGGGAUGCGGAAUUCCAGGUGGAGCGGUGAAAUGCGUAGAUAUCGUUUGGAACGCCAAUGGUGAAAACAGGCGACUGGGGAUGAGCUGACACUGAGACACGAAAGCCAGGGGAGCAAACGGG
rnacentral:rRNA from 1 species